CAGAGUAUAGUAGAGACUAUAUGAAGGAAAUACACCUCCUAUAGGCAGUGGGGCCAUUUUUGCAAUAGUUUGCUCCAUAGUUGGAAUUUUUAUAAACAUCUGUCUAAAGAGAAGAU